GCCGGGGUGGCGGAACAGGCAGACGCACGGGACUUAAAAUCCCGCGGACCGCGAGGUCCGUACCGGUUCGAUUCCGGUCCUCGGCACCA
rnacentral:tRNA from 1 species